CCCUGCCUGCUUUAAAUGAUUCAAAAUAAUCAACAUUUGAAAACAAUAGAAAUUUAGAAAAGUAAUCAAAUGUAAUCAGCUACAUUACUUAAAGUCACUUGAAACAGUGACACUACAUAUUACAUUUUAAAUAAUUUAAUUUGUAAUCUGUAACCUAUAACAUUUCCAAAGUAACCUUCCCAACACUGGACCUGACACCUUGCAACUCAGACAAACAGAGUUGACAAAAUCAACUCAUAUUGGAUUUUAAAGGGUAUUUUUGCCUAAAACAAAACUGUAAUGAUAACAGAUUGCAAAAAAAAAAAAAAAAAAAAUGUUUUGAUUUGCUGAUUGAUGAUGAUAUAAACUUUCAAUAAUAUAAUUGAACAGAGCUACAAUUCGGUUUAUGCAUGAAUGAAGAAAAUAUGUUUGCAUCCCAGGAGCUCUACUAGAAUGUUAUAGAGUGAAUGCCAAGGAGAACAUGAAGAAAAAAAAGUGAAAAAUAACACAGGUAAGACAAAUUAAUAAAUUAUUUUCAUUUACGUAUUAAACUGUUUAUUUGUGCUAUAUAAAUAAACUUGUAUUGUAUAUAUAAACUGUUGGUAAGACGACAAGAAAAGUUAUUUAGGAAAUAAAUUAUUUUAGUUAUUGCAUUUAAGACUGCUACACUACAUGGAGCUCUAAUAAAAAAGUAAUAUAGCCACACUGGAGAUAGGAUCCAAGCAGCUGUCGAUCAAAUGAGCACAUGACCGAAUGACGUCACUUUAGGGCACGCGGCAUGUAUCCAUGGCAACGCUCAGCCGCUAAUGACAGUUAACGGUCAUCUGGUGAUUUCCUCAGACACGGCUUUGAGUUUUCGCUUUUGUUUGGUCAAAAAAGGUUAAAAGACAAUGGGAAGAAAUGCCAUCGACUAACCACAGCUGACAACCAGAGACGCGGACACGCCAAAAAACACACACACACAAUCACACACGAAAGCCCUGCAACUUUACCAUUGUUCAAUUAAAAUAAAUCUAUUUUGCUUCAUA